CCUACGGGUGGCUGCAGUGGGGAAUAUUGCACAAUGGGGGGAACCCUGAUGCAGCGACGCCGCGUGAGUGAUGAAGUAUUUCGGUAUGUAAAGCUCUGUCAGCAGGGAAGAAGAUAGACGGUACCUGACCAAGAACCCCCGGCUAAAUACGUGCCAGAAGCCGCGUUAUUACGUAGGGGGCAAGCGUUAUCCGGAUUUACUGGGUGUAAAGGGAGCGUAGACGGCAGGGCAAGUCUGGAGUGAAAGGCAAGGGCCCAACCCCAGAACUGCUUUGGAAACUGUCAGGCUGGAGUGCGGGAGAGGUAAGUGGAAUUCCUGGUGUAGCGGUGAAAUGCGUAGAUAUUAAGAGGAACACCAGUGGCGAAGGCGGCUUACUGGAAUGUAACUGACGUUGAGGCGCGAAAGCGUGGGGAGCAAACAGGAUUAGAUACCCCAGUAGUC
rnacentral:rRNA from 1 species